rfam:Hoeflea sp. BRH_c9 BRHa_1003752, whole genome shotgun sequence.
UGUAAAUGCCCUCCUUGGGCGUUUCCUCCCUAGACUUUGCCGCGCCCUUGGCGCGGUUUUUUUUGCCUCUG